GAGAGCAGCCCCUUGCAUAAGUUGUUGAAUGGAUGUAAAAGAAACUGUCUUGGAAGUAAGAGCCUCUUGAACUUGACUUUGGAGAAUGAGAAAGCAUUCGAAGCUUUUGCUAAUGGCUGAGGCACUCUUAGAUGUGAAGAGAGAAAGCCUGAGAUCUCCAGUCCUGAAUCUGGUGAAAAAGGUGUAACUGCCAUAUCACAGCACGGAACGCUGAGUACAUUAUUCUUUCCAACAGCAGGAUUUGAAGUCAACUUUGUAGGAGGAAAGAGAUGGGUGAGCCCGGGGCUGCGAAGCGCCCGAUGGGGAAGCUUAUAAAAUGUGAUGCUCUCUGGAAGGUCUGUUCACGCAAAACUAAGCGAGGAGUGCCGCCCCAUUUACUCCUGGGAAAUACAGGGCUGUGAGUGCUCCGCACUGCCGUCCCUCUGAGCCGAGGGGCUGAGGCUGCUCGGAGCCCCGGAGGGGCUGCUGAGCCCCACUGAGACGGCCCUCCUGCCGCACCUCGCCGUGGCCGGGACGUGACGAGGACCAGGCGGCCGCUGCAGCCCCGCUGCUGCACACCGCGGUGGGCACCGUGGGAGAGGGGGCUGUGCCUCCAUGAGGCAGUGUGAGUCAGCAAAAUAAGGCUGACUGAGCACUUAUCUGGGCAUCGACCGAGCAUCGGUGACUUAGCGUUUACUAGGCGGAGCUACCGACGUGCCUAAAGCGAGCAGCCUUAAGGACUUUCUUCCAGCCCUCUCCAGGCAGUCGCUAAUCUCCUUGCUGCAGCCAUGCUGAGGUGUCCCAGGAGUGUGAGACCUCGCUGUGACUGACAACGACCAUUAAGCAUGGCUCCUCCAGCGCCAAGGCUCAUUUCAUUAACUGCUUUGCACAGGCUCAGGCUGCCUUCUCAGAAGGAAAGAAAUCACCAUAUGUUCACACAGGGUGCUGUAGUAUCUCCUUUUACAAUCACUGUCAUUUAGGAGCCCAACAAAACAGAGACUGUGUGAUGAUACCAACCUUAUAUUUCAUAUAUAAUGUUGUUGGUUUGCCUUUGAAAGUUCUGUCAAAUAAAAGCAUUUUAAUC
rnacentral:lncRNA from 7 species